rnacentral:lncRNA from 9 species
CACUUCUAGUUGUAAGACGAUUACGCUCUGGGGAUCCAAUGCAAGGCAUGGUUCAUACAGUUAACGAUACUGCAUCUUAUACUUGAAAGGUGCCAGGAGAGUAGAUCUUAAGUGUUGUCAUCACAGCACCAAAAAGUGUAACUAUGUGAGAGGUUAAGAAACAAAAUUAAACGGAGGAAAUUGUAAAGAUCUUCCUGGCUUUAUUCAGAGAUGAAUGAAAUGGACAGCGUCCAGUCUAGCACAUGGAAAGAUGCUCCAAGGAGCUGUACAGGAUGAAAGCCUUUCGUAGGCAGAAGGGUGUAAGAAUAAGAAUGUUAUUCCGGUAAGAAAAGGCAGGUGGUUGUUUCUAGGUUACUUUCUUUAUGGGGCGUGGCAGGGCCUAGCCCGCAGAUCACCUGGCUAGUGCUGAUCAGGUGGUCCUGACUGUCAGGUUGAAGAUUCCAUUUCCAGGAGAGAUGAAACUAAUCUGUGUGAUGAUUUGGGGCUUAGCGUAAGUAACUCCCUUUGGGGCCUGUUGUUUUGUUUUUAACAGAAAUAAUGUAUUGACUAACCAUAUUUCAUUCACUUUGCAGUGUAAAUGUGUAUAUUAAAUCAUCACAUUGUAAUCCUUCAACUUAGAUGAUUUUACAUGUCAAAUAGAUCUCAGUAAAGCUGGAAAAAAAUGUGGGGGGGGGAGAGAGAGAGAAAGGGAGAGAGGGAGCUUUCUGUAUACACAUGUAACUCACAUUUUUAUCCCUCAUCCACUGAUGGACAUUUUGGUUGUUUCCGUAACUCGGCGACGGUACGACGCUGCAGGGAACUGAGGGUGCAGAUACCGUUUCAAGGGGCCGAUUUCAGUUAUUCCGAAGCGGAUCUGUUGGUUCAUAUGGUGGUCCUAGUUUUAAAUCUUUGAGGAAUCCCUGUCUUAUUUUCUCUGGCGGCCGUGUCAGUUUACAUCCCCUCCGGCAGCGCACAAGAAAAGCCCUGUCCCUUUUCUCCACGUCGUCAUCAGUAUUUAUUAUCUUUUGUGUUUUUGAUGCUGGCCAUCCGGGCUGGUGAGGCGAUACCUUGUUCUGGUUUUGAUGUGCCUUUCCCAGAUGACGAGAGAUGUGGAACCCUUGGCAUAUAUUUAUUAGCCACUUGAACGUCUUCUGUAGAGAACUGUCUAAUUAGGUUCUGUGCCCAUUUAUUUUUUAUGAAGAUUUCAUUUUUUAGAGCCGUUGUUGGUUUAUAGCAUGAUCAAGGGGACGUUCGAGAGGUUUCUCUCAUGCCCUUGCCUGCGUACAGGUGUAGCCUCCCCCAUUAUCAACAUCCGCCACCAGAUGGUACAUUUGUUGCAACUGAGGAACUGCAUUCACACAUCAUAAUCGCUCAGGUCCAAGGUGCACCUGAGGGGUCCCUCAUGGUGUCGUACAUUGUAUGGGUUUCGACAGAUGCAUCAUCACAUCACUUUGGUAUCACACACGAUAUGUUCACUACCUGGAACAUUGUCUGAGCUCCGCCUGUGUAUCCUUGCUGCCCUUACUCAGUGACUGAUUUUUCUACUGUUUCCACCCUUUUGUCUUUUCCAGAAUGUAGUAUAGUUGAAAUCAUAUAGUAGGUAGUCUUUUCAGAUUGGCUUCUCUUUUUUUUGGGGGGGGGACAUUUUUGGCUGCUGCAUAUGGAGCCCCCAGGCCAAGGAUCAGAGCCACAGUUGAGACCUAAGCCCCAGCUGUGGCAACGCCAGAUCCCUCACUUACGGUGCCAGGCUAGGCACCGAAUCCACAUCCCAGCAGCUCCCAACACACCGCCAAUCCUGUUGCAACACAGUGGGAACUCCAAGAUUGGCUUCUUCUUUGGUUUAAUAAUAUGCAUUUAAGUUUCCUCCAUGUCUCUUCAUGACUUGAUACCUCGUUUCUUUUGAGCAAUAUUCCAGUGUAUGGAUGGGCCACAUUUUAUUCAUGUAUUCUUCUGCGGAAGGGCAUCUUGUUUGCUUCCAAAUUUGGGAAUUAUAGCUAAAACUGCUCUACACAUCUGUGUGCAGGUUUUUGCGUGCACAUGUUUUCAACUCUUUAGGGUAAACACCAAGGAGCAUUGCUGCUGGAUCGUGUCCUCAGAGUCUGUUUAGAGAGCCAGGGUCUGUGGUGGCAGCAGGGCCAAUUCUGCCUGUGCUGGGUCUCCGUGCCAGGUGCCUGUGGUGAUACUUGCUGGGACUUCCCUGGUCCAGGGCUAGCAGUUGUCCUGGCUCACACAUCUGGCCUCUCUGAUGACAGAAACCCUGUGGCACCCUGGUGGGGAAAGCUUUAGGGGAUCUGCAGCAGAUGCAAAGACUGUGGGUUUCCUCAGGGCGGGGCGCUGGCGGGGAGGCUGUGAUGUCUCCCUGGUGAGAGGUCCGCGCGUGAGCCUGCCCUUCUCUUUGUCCCUCCCUGUCUCCAGAUGCGUCCGCUCUGCAGUGGCUCCUUCAGGCAGCAGCCAGAGCGCCUGGGAGAGAUGAGACACGGAUGCUCACCUUGCUUCCCUCUCCCCGCCGCCUGCCCAGGAGAACCCGCCGGUGGGGGUGGAGGGGCCCCUCUUGGCACGGAGCUCUGCUGGCCUGGGAGACAGGAUGAUGCAGAUGGUGGAUUGUAGCCAGUUUGGGCAUAUUGCAGUAUUCUUGGGGAAGGAACUCCAUUUGUGAUGGGGUGUUUGCCCGUUCUCCGUCAAGUCCUGCUGAGAUCCACAACACCUUUACAAGGGCUUUCCUGCUUAGGUUGUACCACCUCUCAGGGUUCCCACAGCUGGGGCCUUUUGAAGGAUGCAGACUUGAGAGAGCAGUGUGUUGUUGAUACCAUCUGGACAGAAGCCUGAAGUCCUCCUAAUAAACUCUUAAUAGUCUGGGGAAUGAGUAUAGAGAUCUCCUCAUCUUGCAAGACCCAACCUAAGACGGAGAUAAGUCUUGGAUUGAUGCCACUUCUGUAAAAGGAAUCAGACACAGUUCAUGACGGAAGAGAGAAGAGGGAAGUGGCAGCCUGCAUCCUGCCGCAGGGCCGAGAGGAAAAAGCCGGCCUGAUGCCCCCUGGCAGGAUACCCCACGGCAUGCUAGAAACCAGGUGAAAGAAUGCAGCCUCAUAUUCCCAUGGCUCUAUUUUAUUUUCAUGACAUAGACGCCACCUCGAGACGCAUCUGCCCAUGAUUUAGAAGGGACAAGAGAGACCAGUUCUGCUCCCAAGUACAGUCGUGGAAGGGUUUGGACUGCCUCUGCCCAUGCAAAUGUUGUCUCGCCUGGCUGACUGCUGGCUUGAUGGAUACGGAUAGGCGAGGUGCAAGGCGUCGUUUCUGCAUUCUUGACUUCCUUCCUCCACAGGUGAAGUCCGUCUCUAAAGCCUUGGAAGCCGAGGAUGGCCCAGAUCCCGCAAAGGCUCAGCCAAGAAAUGCAGCCUUUCACCAGUUUCUCAGCAAGUGUUUCCCCAGUAAAGGGCGUCGUCUCCUGCUGUUUAAGACCGACGAGCCCGGGCCUCCUUCAGGGGACUGAAGAAAAGGGGAAUCAAGCUGUACCUUUAAUUCCACGAAUGCUGUCGUUUGAGAUGGAGUGAUUUAGGGCCUCGCUACCAGGGAUGGUUUCAAGGACAAAUGCUGAUAAACCAAAUGGAAUAUAAACCAAAGGUUUGCAGUACUUUCUUUAAAGCAAAUAUGAUAUCGAUGAGAGUGUUUCUGCUGACAGAUGAAUCGGAACCUUCUUAGUAGCUGAAGUAAAAUUAAUUUCUUUCAUAUGAAAUAUCCUUCAUAUCUGCUUUUGUAUGAAUUUAUAUUUAGUAAAGAUCUUAUUCUACCCUGACGGAUAAGAGAAAUAUGACUUCUGCUGAGGUUUCAUGACCAUGGCAGCUGCAGCAUAUUUUUCUUUAAUAAAGCUUUGUAGAGAGAUUGUCAUUGAAAUCUCAUGCAUUUUUGGUUACUCUUCAGUCUUGUCUUAGAAAAUGCUAAGAAUAGCAGUAGAAAUAUUCAAUGAAAAUGCAAAGUACUUUUUAAAAGAGUGUCAACAUAAUAAUAUUCGGGGAGUUUAUUAAAAUUGUUGUACUGUCUUAGGUUUUACACAUAAGAUCUGUGCUGCUUUACUUUCAGAAGUGUCCAUGUGGCUCCAAGGACUUGCUGGAUGGUUAUUCAAUAGUUUGAGAGCACAAAAAUCCAAGAAUAGAAACUAGGAGUCUGCAUAGACAAACCCUGGAAAGUUCGACCUUGUUGAGACAAGUCACAGUUCUUUUCUUUAAGGAAAAAUGCACAGCCACUACCCCAGGGACAUUUAGUUUGACUGACAUUAUUUAUGAUGGAUCAGAGAACAGAGUACGCUGGAUGGGAAAUCUCUGCUGGACAAGAGUGCCGAGGGAGUUCCUGUCGCGGCUCCGUGGUCCCGAACCUGACUAGCAUCCGGGAGGAUGCGGGUUUGAUCCCUGGCCUCGCUCGGUGGGUUAGGGAUCCGGCGUUGUCGUAGGCUGUGGCGUAGGCUGGCAACUGCAGCUCCGACUCGACCUCUAGCCUGGGAACCUCCAUGUGCCACAGGUGCAGCCCUAAAGAAAUAGAAAAGAAAAGAGUGCUGAGUCACAUUGUCCCAUUUGUAGGUUGUGGGACGGAGGCAGGAGUUGGAGAUGGGGAGAGACAUGUCAUUCUCUCCCUUGCUUUUUGAGCUAGAAUCCUCCCUGCAUUGCUAGGUCCGCCAGAUGGGCUGAAGGCGAAACGCAAUCCCGAAGUGUUUUAUCGCCUUUCCUCUUCUGAGCCCUAGAAGGGUCGUUUAGAACAAACGCAGCCUGUGGAGGGACAAAACUCAUCUGCAGCAGAGGGAGCUGACGAUCCAGAUUAACCGUCACCAACUCCGUGUGACAGCGAUGGGUCUGGGACAUUUCUUCUAGUUGAUGGUGAGGGGGAAGAGGAGAGGUUAUGUCCAUUAUUGCUGUGAAUCCGGGUAGAGUUUCCAAAAGUGCUGUCAAAGGGGCCCCCAAGCGCCUUGGCAUCCGGUGCUUCAAGGUGGGUUGUCUGGCUGGAAAGAAUCAGCCAGCUCUCAGAGCGUCAUCCUCCAGGCAGGGAUAAGAAGGUGGGUCUCAGGACAUCCAGAGCAGCCUGGCAGGUCCCCAGCUGCAUACCUCGGAGCAGAGUCCUAGUAGGGUUCCCAGGGAAUGAGGGCACCGCCCCUCUCAGUGAACAGCAGCCGGCACUCGCCCUGGGAGUAGACUGGUCCUGCCUCUGCAGAGUCCAACACGAGAUGGGACAGGAGACCCCCAGCCCGGGAGUCCUUCUGCUGCAGCUUUGGCCGCCUUUAGCGGAGCAUGCGUUUGAAAGCUGAGAAGAGCUGCGGUAUCACUGAAUAAUAAAUGCAUUCAGUGGGACAAUUAAGUCAUUUAAAGAAAUAGAGAAACUGCCACCUAUCUAUGUAGGACUGUUAGACCAUUUCGGAUGCCACUGCUAAACUGAUGAUAAAAAAUGUGUUAUUAUUUAAAUAAAUAUAUGGCUU